rnacentral:rRNA from 1 species
UACAGAGGUCCCAAGCGUUGUUCGGAUUCACUGGGCGUAAAGGGUGCGUAGGCGGUCGGGUAAGUCUGAUGUGAAAUCUCACAGCUUAACUGUGAAACUGCAUUGGAUACUAUCCGGCUUGAGGAAUGGAGGGGAGACUGGAAUACUUGGUGUAGCAGUGAAAUGCGUAGAUAUCAAGUGGAACACCAGUGGCGAAGGCGAGUCUCUGGGCUGUAACUGACGCUGAGGCGCGAAAGCGUGGGGAGCAAACAGG